AUGGGUGAGGCACUAGAAGAUUGGAGACAAGCAAAUGUUGUCCCUACCUUCAAAAGGUGGAGAAGGGAGGAGCCAGGAACCUACAGACCUAUCAGCUUGACUUCAAUAUCUGUGGCGUCCGUGAUCUUUGGGUCUGGAUGAAGAUUUGGCUAGAAGUCCUCCACAUCCUUGUCUGUUGUUCCCUCUGGAAGAGAAACAGCAUGUGUGAAUUAUAUGUCCUCUAAUCCACUCCAUACUGCAGAAAGGAAAUUCUGUGAAAAAUUAUUAUGUAUGGUUCAAAAUUACAGUGACACAUUCCCUCCUGCUUUAGCUAGCUAUAUGUUAAAACAUUCAUGAAAAUGCCUGACCGAUGAUGAUGUUGCUGCUAUUGUAUUUGUCAAAUACAUGCAUGUGAAUGAGAAGUUACUAGAAUCUGUAGUUACAAGUUAGAUAACCACAUUUCAUCAUUAAUAUUACUUCCCAUAUUUAAUUUUAUAUAAAAUGUAAUGCUUUGAAAUGGGAAUUUUACUUCUGAGCAUGCUGCCCAGGCAGUUGAAAUAAAUUGCUAUGUUGGUAAUGCUACUGAAUAAAAUCUAUGUUUAGUCAUUCUUGAAUAUGAACUUAAGGAAAAUAGGAAUAUUGUGCUAUGCAUCCAUAUAAAAUAUUUGCACAGUUAGAGAUUGUAAGCUUUUAACAGAAUUUUAAGAUCUUAAACUUGAGAAGCUGAAUAACCGACCUUUUUUUGCCAGACUUUGCCCUUUGAUUUUUGUAAAAAAAAUUAUUGCUGCUGCUGUUGUUUUUUACCACCUAGAGUUUUUGGAGGAGGUAGUAUAUAAGGAAAUUUUAAUAAAUAAAGUAUAAGAAAACUAAAA